rnacentral:rRNA from 1 species
GACGAACCGAGCGAACGUUGUUCGGAAUCACUGGGCUUAAAGGGCGCGUAGGCGGGCUGUCAAGUCCGGGGUGAAAUCUUUCGGCUUAACCGGAAAAGUGCCUUGGAUACUGAUGGUCUCGAGGGAGGUAGGGGCAGCUGGAACUUCAGGUGGAGCGGUGAAAUGCGUUGAUAUCGGAAGGAACUCCGGUGGCGAAAGCGAGCUGCUGGACCUCUUCUGACGCUGAGGCGAGAAAGCUAGGGGAGCAAACGGG